UUAGUGCAUAUAAAGACCUUAAUUGAAAUUCUUGACAAUUGAAAUCUAAGUUUAAAAAAAAUCUAAAUUUCACUUUUGCAUUACGCUUUCCCCUUGAUUUUUUUUUCCCUUAGUUCCUUUUGCCUUUAAUAAGGAUUAACCAUCCUGUUUCCCCCUCCUCCAGGGAAGGAGGAUCCAGCUGGCAGAUGCAAAGCUGGGAUACACGAGAAGGAAAACACUAAAAAUUUUUAAAAGUAUCAUUUUUCCUUCAACCCCACUCGAUUACAGCGAUCUGAGCUCCAAUUACAGGCACAGACCCCGAGCUGGAAGGUGUAACAGAUUUCUGCCUCCAAGAGGGCUCCUGGGGCUCAGGUCCCAGUUGGGGUUCCCAGACCUCGGGAUGCUGAGCAGGGAGCACAGGAAGGUGGCCCCAGCUGUGCCCAGCUCUUCUCUCCCAGGAAUAUGGAAUAACUCAGUAUCAGCUUCCCUCGCACGCGGAGGUGAAGGACCUCUUUGGGAGGUCAACCAAGAAGCUUCAGCACUGGUUGGCCUCCACCAUAAACUGCUCAUUUCUUGCUCAGAUCUGUCACUUUUGCCAUGGAGUAAAUUCAGGAUUGUCCUGUGGACAAGGAUACCUUGCCAUCACCUCCUGUUUGGAUGGAGUCAGCCCAGAGGUGCCACAGCCCAGCAGGGAUGGAGAGAAGACACAGUCACAGAAGACGAGAGGUUCUUCAAAGUUCAUGAGGGGCAAAAUAAUCAUGGAAUGAAAUUAAAGCUGUGCUAGGGAACGGGAUAUUUGAGAAUGUCAGGGAAAACAAUCUCCUCAGUGCUGUUUCACACUACCACGGGUGUUUUCUGCCAAGAAUCCCUCAGUCUUCAGCAGUUUCUGUUUGAAAGAUUUUUAGGAAAAAGAAAUAUUUGUUAAUCUGUUAAUGACUAAUUAGUUAAUGACUCCUGUGAAAUGGAGGUUUCGUUUACAAAAAUUCAAGUUGAAUAUUGGCACUUGCAGCUCCUGUAGAACCCAACUCAGUGUUUUUCCAGCCCCCAGAAGGGUCAUUCAGCUGCCUCACAACCUCUCCAUUGCAGCCUCUCCAGGGCAUUUAGGAACUGUUUAAUUCCAGCUCUGACAUCUUCCCAUCCCUUUCCCUGGUGGCUCAUGGCAGCUCUUUGUGGCACAGCCUCAUCCAUAAGUUUAUUUUUUUUCCUCCAAGGAAAGGGCAUUAUUUGCACAAUGGAAUGUUCACUUGCAUUUCUCAGUGCAGGUGUGCCCCUGGCAGAUGAGAGGCAGCCUGUUCAAUUAUAUUUAUUACAUAUUUAUAUGUUAGAGUUUGGUUGGCCAGAGCAGCUGUGGCUGCCCCUGGAUCCUUGGAAGUGUCAGGACAGAGCUUGGAGCCCCCUGGGACAGUGGAAGGUGUCUCUGCCCAUGGCAGGGGGUGGCACUGGUUGGGCUUUAAGGUCCCUUCCAACCCAAACUGAUCUGGGAUUCUUUGAUUUACAAGCAAAUGGAUUUGGAUUUUAAAAAUCCUAUUUUUAUUUACUGGUAUCAGCAAGGUUGGGAAUCCAGGGAAAAAAGGAAACUUGAAGGUGAGCCCUGGAGUAACAAGCUAGCAGCAUGUGCAAAAGGGUUAAAUCAAUCCUAAAAUGCUUUUUUACAGCAGAGGAAAGAGUUUUAAAGGGUGGAUGUAGUUGGUGCCACCAAGGCUGGGGUGGGAAGAGCACUCAGGGACAUGGGAUCAGCCCAGGCUUCUCUGCUUUGCUCCCUGCAAGAGAAGAGGAGCUUCACCACCCAAAAUAUUGCUCAGAGUGUGUCCCACCUCACAUAUAACUAGUGGGAAGAGAGAUGCAGCACACCCAGUUAUAAACUUGACUAUUCAUCAUUUAAUUAACACUGGAGAAGCAAUGGCUGAGGCUCUCCUGGGAGCCAGGGCUUGAGUAAUGUGGCUGCACCUCUCUGAUCAGAGACUGCAGGGCUGGAAACCAGGAUUUUCCCAAAUAUUACAUGGAUAAAUAUUUUCUUGCUAAUGAUUUGUGAAGCAAAGAAUGAACAAGCCUUGAGUUUAGCCUGAACAAUCCUUGAAUGUAUCCAUUAGAACCAAAUAUAUCCACAUAUCAAAUUUAUAA